rnacentral:rRNA from 1 species
UUGGAGGGCAAGUCUGGUGCCAGCAGCCGCGGUAAUUCCAGCUCCAAUAGCGUAUAUUAAAGUUGUUGCAGUUAAAAAGCUCGUAGUUGAAUUUCGGGAUUUAUCCGUUGGUCGGGCUUUUGGGUCUGUACUGGCGUGAUGGAUUUCUACCUUCUGAAUAACCAGCAUGUCAUUAAUUUGGUGCGCUGGCGAAGCAGGACUGUUACCUUGAAAAAUUAGAGUGCUUAAAGCAGGCUAUUGCCUGAAUACAUUAGCAUGGAAUAAUGAAAUAGGACGGCAUGGUUCUAUUUUGUUGGUUUCUAGGAUCACCGUAAUGAUUAAUAGGGAUAGUUGGGGGCAUUAGUAUUCAAUUGUCAGAGGUGAAAUUCUUGGAUUUAUUGAAGACUAACUACUAGCGAAAGCAAUUUGCCAAGGAUGUUUUCAUUAAUCAAGAACGAAAGUUAGGGGAUCGAAGACGAUCAGAUACCGUCGUAGUCUUAACCAUAAACUAUGCCGACUAGGGAUCGGAUGAU